GUGUCAGCAGCCGCGGUAACACGUAGGAGCCAAGCGUUAUCCGAAUUCACUGGGCGUAAAGCGCGUGUAGGCGGUCUUACAAGUUGGAUGUGAAAGCUCCUGGCUCAACUAGGAGAGGACGUUCAAUACUGUGAGACUAGAGGACGGCAGAGGAAGGUGGAAUUCCCGGUGUAGUGGUGAAAUGCGUAGAUAUCGGGAGGAACACCAGAGGCGAAGGCGGCCUUCUGGGCCGAUCCUGACGCUCAGACGCGAAAGCUAGGGGAGCAAACGGGAUUAGAAACCCCCGUAGUCC
rnacentral:rRNA from 1 species